UUACGGCCAUAUCACGUUGAAACACCGGUUUCUGUGCGAUCGCCGAAGUUAAGUAACGUCGGGUCUGGUCAAUAACUAUAUGGGUGACCGUUUGGGAAUGCCAGGAGCUGUAAU